AGAGAGAGAGAGCGAGUGAGAGAGAAGCGGUGGAUGGGGUUGGAGAUGGAGGCUGGCGGAUAGGGUUUGGUUCGUUCGACGGCAUAUCCUGAGGUUUCUCCUCCGCCCUUUUCUGCUGAAAUCUCCGGUUUGGGGUCUCUUUUCUGAACGCUUCUGCUGGGAUUCAUCGCGGGGCUCUGUUAUUCCCGACGUGAGGUAUAUUGUUUUUUCGGUUUGGUUUGAUGUAUUGAUCUUGUUCGUCUUCUCCUUCUUUUUAUCUCUCUCUCCGUCCCUCCCUCUCGCUGUGCCUCUGAUCUUGAGUCCGACUUCUUUAGGAUUUGAUUGUUUUUUCAGUUAACUGCUUGUGGUAGUUUCUAGAAAAAAAAUUGGGAUCACAAGGAAAAUUUUCGCGCUCUUCAUGAGGUGGUGUUCGUUCACUCCGUUCCUGAUUUCUUACCGUGAAUUUGGUCCUCUGUCUUCUAUAUUGUUUAAUAAUUUCAAUUUUAAAAUACUUUUUGAUUUCAUCAUAUGAUAUCCUAUGGUUAUAUUAAUAUUAAUCUCUAUUAGAUUUCUAGAAAUGGAUGCAUGAAGAAGAGAUUCAACUGCAUCAAUCAGAAAAAAAAAACGCCGAUGAUUUAUGUUCCUUUUCCAUGCCUCAUAUAAAAAGAUAAAUUAUUCUUGAUAAACCGAAUGAAAUAAUUAAACAUCACACUUAAGACAAUUCGGAAAAGAAAUGGAGGUUUCAUUUCAGGUAAUCUGUAUAAUAUUCAAGCGAUUUAACUUCUGUUUUUGGUGGAGAGUGUGGCUGUGCCAUGUUGAUGAAAAUACUUGCAGAACUUUUUUUCUUUUUAUUUUCUUCGGAACUCGAACGACUGUCAAUCUCCAUGUUUUCCGUAAAAGAUGCAGAAAUUCGAGUUAUUUUUGAAUUAGGAGAACGUUGACUGUGUGAACAUUCAACAGCCCUCACAUAUUCAUUCAUAAUUCACUGAAGAACUAUUUCAUUGACCUUAUUUGAUAUAUCACGGCUGGAGUUUGACUAUCACUGUCCCCAUCUUCCGCAGCUCUCUGAGCAGAGACUCUUUGUCCUGUAUGUCAGGGAAUGCAGAAAGAUGUGCGUCGAUUCUGAGGCUCCCCUCUCCUGCGGAAUCGAACCACUUGAGACGCUGUUCUCCAAUAUUUAUAGUCUCAGAUCCAUAACCGCAGCAGGUCAACGGCCGGGCAAUGGGCCUUUGACUUCGAGGGGGGCGGCAGCGUCAACCUGUGACCAUACCGAAGGAGGCUGACCUCUGCCGAUCGAAAAACACUGAAGAAAAUUUCAAUUUCCUCUGGUGG
rnacentral:lncRNA from 1 species